rnacentral:rRNA from 1 species
UCCGUAGGCGGCAAGCGUUGUCGGGAUUUAUUGGGUUUAAAGGGUGCGUAGGCGGUUUUGUAAGUCAGUGGUGAAAUAUGUCAGCUUAACUGAGAGGGUGCCAUUGAUACUGCAGAACUUGAGUACAGAUGAGGUAGGCGGAAUUGACGGUGUAGCGGUGAAAUGCUUAGAUAUCGUCAAGAACACCUAUAGCGAAGGCAGCUUACUAGGCUGUAUCUGACGCUGAGGCACGAAAGUGUGUGGAUCAAACAGG